ACUCAAAGGAAUAGACGGGAGCCCGCACAAGCGGUGGAUUAUGUGGUUUAAUUCGAAGCAACGCGCAGAACCUUACCUAGGUUUGACAUCCUUUGACAACUGUAGAGAUACAGCUUUCGUAGCAAUACGACAAAGAGACAGGUGCUGCAUGGCUGUCGUCAGCUCGUGUGGUGGCAUGUCGGGUUAAGUCCCUCAACGAGCGCAACCCCUGUGUUUAGUUGCCAGCAUUAAGUUGGGCACUCUAGACAGACUGCCGUGGUUAACACGGAGGAAGGCGGGGAUGACGUCAAGUCCUCAUGGCCCUUACACCUAGGGCGACACACGUAAUACAAUGGUUGGUACAGAGGGACGCAAAAUGGCAACAUCGAGCAAAUCUCAAAAAGCCAAUCUCAGUUCGGAUUGGAGUCUGCAACUCGACUCCAUGAAGGCGGAAUCGCUAGUAAUCGCGGAUCAGCACGCCGCGGUGAAUACGUUCCCGGGCUUUGUACACACCGCCCGU
rnacentral:rRNA from 1 species